UACGUAGGGGGCAAGCGUUGUCCGGAAUCAUUGGGCGUAAAGAGCGUGUAGGCGGCCCGAUAAGUCCGCUGUGAAAGUCCAGGGCUCAACCCUGGGAUGCCGGUGGAUACUGUCGGGCUCGAGUCCGGAAGAGGAGUGUGGAAUUCCUGGUGUAGCGGUGGAAUGCGCAGAUAUCAGGAGGAACACCAAUAGCGAAGGCAGCUCGCUGGGACGUUACUGACGCUGAGACGCGAAAGCGUGGGGAGCGAACAGG
rnacentral:rRNA from 1 species